rnacentral:rRNA from 1 species
CUAAUACAUGCAAGUCGAACGCUUCUUUCCUCCCGAGUGCUUGCACUCAAUUGGAAAGAGGAGUGGCGGACGGGUGAGUAACACGUGGGUAACCUACCCAUCAGAGGGGGAUAACACUUGGAAACAGGUGCUAAUACCGCAUAACAGUUUAUGCCGCAUGGCAUAAGAGUGAAAGGCGCUUUCGGGUGUCGCUGAUGGAUGGACCCGCGGUGCAUUAGCUAGUUGGUGAGGUAACGGCUCACCAAGGCCACGAUGCAUAGCCGACCUGAGAGGGUGAUCGGCCACACUGGGACUGAGACACGGCCCAGACUCCUACGGGAGGCAGCAGUAGGGAAUCUUCGGCAAUGGACGAAAGUCUGACCGAGCAACGCCGCGUGAGUGAAGAAGGUUUUCGGAUCGUAAAACUCUGUUGUUAGAGAAGAACAAGGACGUUAGUAACUGAACGUCCCCUGACGGUAUCUAACCAGAAAGCCACGGCUAACUACGUGCCAGCAGCCGCGGUAAUACGUAGGUGGCAAGCGUUGUCCGGAUUUAUUGGGCGUAAAGCGAGCGCAGGCGGUUUCUUAAGUCUGAUGUGAAAGCCCCCGGCUCAACCGGGGAGGGUCAUUGGAAACUGGGAGACUUGAGUGCAGAAGAGGAGAGUGGAAUUCCAUGUGUAGCGGUGAAAUGCGUAGAUAUAUGGAGGAACACCAGUGGCGAAGGCGGCUCUCUGGUCUGUAACUGACGCUGAGGCUCGAAAGCGUGGGGAGCAAACAGGAUUAGAUACCCUGGUAGUCCACGCCGUAAACGAUGAGUGCUAAGUGUUGGAGGGUUUCCGCCCUUCAGUGCUGCAGCAAACGCAUUAAGCACUCCGCCUGGGGAGUACGACCGCAAGGUUGAAACUCAAAGGAAUUGACGGGGGCCCGCACAAGCGGUGGAGCAUGUGGUUUAAUUCGAAGCAACGCGAAGAACCUUACCAGGUCUUGACAUCCUUUGACCACUCUAGAGAUAGAGCUUUCCCUUCGGGGACAAAGUGACAGGUGGUGCAUGGUUGUCGUCAGCUCGUGUCGUGAGAUGUUGGGUUAAGUCCCGCAACGAGCGCAACCCUUAUUGUUAGUUGCCAUCAUUUAGUUGGGCACUCUAGCGAGACUGCCGGUGACAAACCGGAGGAAGGUGGGGAUGACGUCAAAUCAUCAUGCCCCUUAUGACCUGGGCUACACACGUGCUACAAUGGGAAGUACAACGAGUCGCUAGACCGCGAGGUCAUGCAAAUCUCUUAAAGCUUCUCUCAGUUCGGAUUGCAGGCUGCAACUCGCCUGCAUGAAGCCGGAAUCGCUAGUAAUCGCGGAUCAGCACGCCGCGGUGAAUACGUUCCCGGGCCUUGUACACACCGCCCGUCACACCACGAGAGUUUGUAACGCCCGAAGUCGGUGAGGUAACCUUAAUGGAGCCAGCCGCCUAAGGUGGGAUAGAUGAUUGGGG